rnacentral:rRNA from 1 species
AGUUUUACGCUUAAAAAUUUUAAAUUUGAUCAUGGUUUAAGAUGAUUUAAAAUGAUAUUAUCUAAUUUUGAUUUAUUGAAUAGGCAAUGAAAUUCAACCUUGGCAAAUUAUCGUUUGUAUAAUUAAUGUUCCAGAAUAAUCGGCUAUACGUUUUAAACUUGUACUUUAAUUGAUGUUUAUUACAAAUUUUUUUAUAGAACUUUAAAAAUUAUAAGGUAGAAUUAGAAUUUUUUGUAUAGUUGUUGUUUGUAAUUUUAAAUUUUGAUUGAACGAACUAGAGUAGAACCUAGUUAGACAAAUAUUAAAAGAGCAGAAGUAAAGUUGUAUUUAAACUGAAAGGAUAUUGGCAGGUUUUUUAAAUUAUCUUUGGAGGCUGAGUAGUAAUUGAGAACCCUCAUUGGCUGCUUUAUUUAUUUUCGCAUGUAUGAUCGUUUAUUUAAAUCUUAAAGGUAGUAAUUAAAGAUUAAAUUUUCUAUAAAAACAGAUAAAUACCUGGUAUAUGAUUAAAGUAAGAUUUGGCCUACAUUAUUUUAUAAUGUGGAUAAUAUUAUUGGCAUAAUAUUUGAAAAUGUAAAAGACAGUAAAAAAUUUUUAAUGUAUUUUUGAAGAUUAUCUAAGGACGGUACAAAUCAUCCAUCAAUUGCCCCCAGGGGAGUAAGUUGUAGUAAAGUAGAUUAAGGGGAACCUUAAUCUAGUAA